UGGGGGAUAUUGCGCAAUGGGGGAAACCCUGACGCAGCAACGCCGCGUGAAGGAUGAAGGUUUUCGGAUCGUAAACUUCUGUCUUCAGGGACGAUAAUGACGGUACCUGAGGAGGAAGCCACGGCUAACUACGUGCCAGCAGCCGCGGUAAUACGUAGGUGGCAAGCGUUGUCCGGAUUUACUGGGUGUAAAGGGCGUGUAGGCGGGAUAGUAGGUCAGAUGUGAAAUUCCAAGGCUCAACCUUGGACCUGCAUUUGAAACCACUGUUCUUGAGUGAUGGAGAGGUAAGUGGAAUUCCUAGUGUAGCGGUGAAAUGCGUAGAUAUUAGGAGGAACACCAGUGGCGAAGGCGACUUACUGGACAUUAACUGACGCUGAGGCGCGAAAGCGUGGGGAGCAAACA
rnacentral:rRNA from 1 species